AAUAGAUACCCAGGUAGUCCACGCCGUAAACGACUGAGUGCUAAGUGUUGGGGGGUUUCCGCCCCUCAGUGCUGCAGCUAACGCAUUAAGCACUCCGCCUGGGGAGUACGGUCGCAAGACUGAAACUCAAAGGAAUUGACGGGGGCCCGCACAAGCGGUGGAGCAUGUGGUUUAAUUCGAAGCAACGCGAAGAACCUUACCAGGUCUUGACAUCCCGGUGACCACUAUGGAGACAUAGUUUCCCCUUCGGGGGCAACGGUGACAGGUGGUGCAUGGUUGUCGUCAGCUCGUGUCGUGAGAUGUUGGGUUAAGUCCCGCAACGAGCGCAACCCUUAUUCUUAGUUGCCAUCAUUCAGUUGGGCACUCUAAGGAGACUGCCGGUGAUAAACCGGAGGAAGGUGGGGAUGACGUCAAAUCAUCAUGCCCCUUAUGACCUGGGCUACACACGUGCUACAAUGGACGGUACAAACGGUUGCCAACCCGCGAGGGGAGCUAAUCCGAUAAAACCGUUCUCAGUUCGGAUUGUAGGCUGCAACUCGCCUAC
rnacentral:rRNA from 1 species